AUGCAAGUAGAACGCUGAAGCUGGUGCUUGCACCGAGCGGAUGAGUUGCGAACGGGUGAGUAACGCGUAGGUAACCUGCCUGGUAGCGGGGGAUAACUAUUGGAAACGAUAGCUAAUACCGCAUAACAGUCGACAUUGCAUGAUGUUGAUUUGAAAGGGGCAAUUGCUCCACUACCAGAUGGACCUGCGUUGUAUUAGCUAGUUGGUGAGGUAACGGCUCACCAAGGCGACGAUACAUAGCCGACCUGAGAGGGUGAUCGGCCACACUGGGACUGAGACACGGCCCAGACUCCUACGGGAGGCAGCAGUAGGGAAUCUUCGGCAAUGGACGGAAGUCUGACCGAGCAACGCCGCGUGAGUGAAGAAGGUUUUCGGAUCGUAAAGCUCUGUUGUAAGGGAAGAACGAGUGUGAGAGUGGAAAGUUCACACUGUGACGGUAACUUACCAGAAAGGGACGGCUAACUACGUGCCAGCAGCCGCGGUAAUACGUAGGUCCCGAGCGUUAUCCGGAUUUAUUGGGCGUAAAGCGAGCGCAGGCGGUUAGAUAAGUCUGAAGUUAAAGGCUGUGGCUUAACCAUAGUACGCUUUGGAAACUGUUUAACUUGAGUGCAGAAGGGGAGAGUGGAAUUCCAUGUGUAGCGGUGAAAUGCGUAGAUAUAUGGAGGAACACCGGUGGCGAAAGCGGCUCUCUGGUCUGUAACU
rnacentral:rRNA from 1 species